rnacentral:tRNA from 1 species
GCGGAAGUGGCGGAAUUGGUAUACGCGCUAUCUUGAGGUGGUAGUGGAUUUUUCCUUGGGGGUUCGAGUCCCCUCUUUCGCA